UAAAGUGCGCGUCCCUGUGCUGCCGCAGAUUGGGAUCAUACCCGGAUCAGCUGACGCCAUUGAGCUCGGUGGGUGACGUCAAUCACUCUUAUGAUGUCAUCUGCGUAGCGCUGCUGACCUCACGCGCGCUUCACCGCAACUACACUGAACUACGGUUCAAAACGCUCGUGCUCUCCGGGCUGAAACUGCGCAUGGACUGAAUAAAAGUACCAGAGUCCCCUUGCAGCACUCCCUAGAAGAGCUCAGCAGUUCACUCAGCAAUUAAAAAGACAUCAGGAACCACAGAAGGGCACUUGCUUUGGAGACUCCAACGGGAAGCUUUGAGACAAACUAGACGCACUUUUACCGAUGACUUACUCAGCAGAAUAGAGUCAAAAUUGUCAUUUUUGGGCAAACACUUCAGAAUGAGCAUGCACGUGAGCUCCUGGACCUCGGCUGUGUAGGUGAGUUGCUCGUAUAUUAUUGCUGAAUUCAAACUAAAUUCUCAGAGCUGUCAUCUUGCAGUUGGGCAAAUAAAUAAAUCAUUAGCGUACAAGGCAGCAACCCUGGGCCCAAAUCCAAUUUUGAAUCAAAGUCAG